rnacentral:misc_RNA from 1 species
AAUAGGUCGAGGAGGUUUUGGAAUAGUAUACAAGGGAACUCUAAGAAAUGGAAUGGAAGUUGCUGUGAAGACGCUUUCUGCUGAAUCGAGACAGGGGUUGCGUGAAUUUUUGACAGAGAUUGAGACUAUAUCAGAUAUUAGACACCCCAAUCUGGUUGAGUUGAUUGGAUACUGUCUUGAUGGACAUAACCGGAUCUUAGUCUAUGAAUAUUUAGAAAAUAAGAGCCUUGAUCGAGCACUGUUUGGUUCUAGUACAAGUAAUGUCAAAUUAGACUGGGAAACAAGGGCUGCUAUUUGCUUGGGUACCGCUACUGGUCUUGCUUUCCUACAUGAAGAAUUAGUGCCACAUAUAGUGCACAGGGACAUCAAAGCUAGUAAUAUACUACUUGACAAGGAUUAUAAACCAAAAAUUGGAGAUUUUGGAUUGGCAAAGCUUUUUCCAGAUAAUAUCACUCACAUCACCACGCAGAUAAAAGGAACCACGUAUGUCUCCUGAAUUUCG